GUUCAGGCUGUUGAUUAGGAAACGCAGCCUCCCUUGAGUUUUUGUGUGGGUGAACCUGGCUCCUGGGGUCCCAGGUGGGGGUGCCAGGCUUCAGGAUCUGCACACUGCCUCACCACCCCCGCAGCCUGUGAUCCCAAGCCAGGCACUCUGAUCCGGCAGCUGUCAACACAAGCACACUCCAGUGCUUUCUGCUUUGCGGUUGGCCUCCUUCUGGAAGCUUUGAACACUAGUGAGAUCAUCACUGUCAAACUCUCUGGGCUUCUGGUGCAAGAGCAGUCAGAUAAGGAGGAAUAUGAGGUGCCAACUCUCUACUUUCGUCCACAGCCCUCAGCCUCACCCUGCUGACCUCUGGCUCCUGCUUAGCUCAGGAACUGUGGACUCAGAACAAAGUUUGAGGUUCUGCUUCUCCGAUUCACCCCUUUCUCCUUCCUGAUUACUGGCAUGGAGCCAGGCACUGCAGGACGGAAAUCAGUGCCAACAAGUAGCUCUGGGAACAGAUUUGAUUUCCUACUGUCACCCUGGGGAGACAGCCCCUGUCUCCUAAGCACCCUGUGUGGAAACCAAGACUUUAUGGAUAGUACUGAAUAUGUGUUUCCAAUGAGAAGUAACAGCUGCAAACUCAUUUGGAUGAUUAAGAUGGCUCAGAUCAGCAACCUUGAGCAAGAUCCAGAAAAUAAAAAAAUCUGUCAGCACUACUACAGGAGGUUGCCAGAACAGGAAGUUGCCAGACAGAGGGGAAGUGCCAGCAGCCAGGGUCCUCUGGCCCAGGUGCAUCUGAAGCGUCCAGGUGAGAACAGAACUGCCAGAUGGAAGACACAUGGUGACGGCUGGGAGGGCCAAGGGCUUUGCACCUUGUCCAGGGGUAGGAAAAAUGCAGUCUGCUGAAGUGUGAACCAGAUGGAAAUGUAUUCUCACAUUUCUCUUCCUUCUUCUGAGACAUGGUGGACCUUGGAUUCCCAUACAGGUUUCUCCAUAGCAGGGUAGGAAUUUGUCCCACAUGCAGGGAUGAGCCAGCCCCAGGAAGAGCAGUGGGCUGGACCAGAGCUGCUUCAAGCUGAUGGCAUGGCAUUGAGAUGUUUGUCCUAAUCUGUAAAACCUAUUUUCCCGCUCAAGGUGGUACCAUGUUGCAGCUUGUCUAUACAGACUUUCUAAAUAAGACUUGGGAAGUUUUUUUUGUUUUGUUUUGUUUUUAGAAAAAAUCUUAGACUGCAGCUCUCACUAUUUCUACUCAACACAAAUCCUUCUCCCUCUCCACAUACAUCUGGUCUUUCCUUAAGUGUUGCUAACCACAUGAGAGUCUCCUCUGCUCUGAAACUCACUCUGCCCUCUGUGUCAAUUACAUGGUUACUCUUCAUCACAGGUUUCCAAAAAAUCUUCAGCCAUGCACUCAAUCAGCAGAUCUUUUAUCGAGAACAUGCUAUAAGCAAGGCUACAGGAGAAACAAGAUAGAUCACACAGUUUCUUUCUUUAAGGAGCUUCUCUCCAGGAUAAAGAAUUUAAACAAACCAGUAAAUCAUUAUAGUAUAAUAUCCUGCAUUUCAUACAUACAUAAGGCCCUAUGAUGAAUGUCAAAGUUGAUCAAAAUUUUAAAGGUCAUCUAGCCUUUAAAAUAUCCAGUUCCUCACAGGGUGGCCUUACAAAUCCCAUCACAACAUCGUCUUUGCACCCAGCAUUUGGAAGGCCUAAGUUUUGUGGUUAUGGAAAAAGAUCAGAGCCUCUUGAUGGAAUAAUUUAGGAGACAUGCCUGCACUUCUUGGUGUUUCCAUGCCUCUCUCAAUCCUGCUGGCCAUUUGAAUCCAGGGCUUAGCCUCUCCAGGACUCAGUUUUCUCCUCUGUUAACCGAGAGGGUUGGACUCCAUGGCUUUUGAGUCCCUUCCAGAGCUAAUAUUUUAUGAUCUAUGAUUAAGACUGGGAUGACAUUGUUGAGCCUGCUGUCCAGAGAAUGACCCACCAACUUUCAUAAAAACAAUCAUAAUUAACCUAUGUUAAUUGGUCAAUAAAACAAUCACAAUUUUAUAGCGUGAAACCUGAGACCUGCUGAGAUCAACGCUACUGGUGAGCCAAGUGGAUGUUCAGCCUUAGAAACAAAAUUGCUGACUACUAACCCCAAUGUCAUAUUAGUCAAAGUGACAUAGACUCAAACUUAUUCUGGUUGAAAUAAAACUAGCUGAUGGAAAAACUGAAGGGCACGUAAAACAAUUUUAGUGUUAGAAGAACACAGGUCAAUCAGAUUAUAGGGGCUUCUUAGGGUAAGGACUGGUAUAAAUGAAUCCAGAGCUAUGUUCUCCCCUUAAAAGGACUCUAUCAUAACCACACUAGAGCCCAGGCAACCUGGGGUCAGCGAAUUAGGGCUGGACCCUCUCAUCCUUUCACAAGUUUAAUCUGCUCAUUAUUUGUCCCAUCUCAGAUUUGGGGAUCAUCUCUCACUCCUGAUUCUCCACUUUCCCCUUAGACUUGAUAGAAUUCUGCUGAUCUUUUAGGCUCACCCUCAAGGUCUUUCUAUUUUUAUACCACCCUGUUCAUAAUAAGAGUUAUCAAGUACACCACCUCCUAUGUGCCAGAUGAUUGUUGUAUUUUAUCUCAGUAAAUCCUUACAACAAUUCUAGGAGAUUGGAACUUUUCUCACCAAAAUUUUAUACUAAAGGAAACCGAGGCUCAGAGAGUUCAGAUAACUUGCCAAGGUCACACACCAGUAAUUAGUGGAACCAGGGUUGAAGCCCAGGUCUGGUUGCUUACAAAACUGUUUUUCUAACAUCUAAAGAUCUGCCCCAUUCAGCCCCUGAGCCAGGUCUACCCUAGCACCCCUCAAGGAAGAAUGAGAUAGUCACACUGAGAAUUAUCAGUAAUUUCACCUUGUCCAAGAGGAGCAACUCAAUGUUGACAAGAGCAAAGUAGGGGCUGAAGGCUGACCUGGCCUUGUCCUAAUCUGUAAAACCUACAGAUUUGGUGCUCAAUAAAUGUUUGAGGAGGGGAAGAAGGAAGGAAGGGAAAGAGAGAAAGAAGAAAGAAAAGAGGCAGUAGAGAAGAAUAGAGGAGAGGAAUAAGGGCCAGAAGCAAGUGACUUUUAGCACAAGGCAUAUCCUGCCAGGGAGAGAGAGGUUCAUUGCAGAUGCUGCAUGUGGCUGGACAAGCAAAAUCCUUGAAGGUCAGCCACUCAGCUUCCAUUAUCCUGUGUCAUCUAUGCCAGGAAGGUUUCCAGACCAGUACAGAAAGCCAAAUUCACUCUAGUUAGAGCUGUAGACCCUGUAUAGUAACUACCAGGUUUAAAAAAAAAGUAUACAUGUAGACUUACAAUCUAUACACCUACCAUCUUCUCACUUGUGAAGACAGCAAAACAAUUGCCAUAAUGUUCAAAAGUCAGCCCUCAAAUAUGAGUUGAAGCCAGUUGUGGUGUAGAGCACCUGUAAUCCUAGCUACUUCAGAGGCUGAGGUGGGAGAAUUGCUUGAGUCCAGGAGUUUGAAGCCAACCUGGGAAACCCCUAUCUCAAAAAAAAAAAAAAAAAAUAGAUAAGCAAAUAACUUGUCAACAUAAUGUAAGGAGGCUCUGCUUUGAGAAAACAUGUUAUACAAAGGUACAAAUGCAUCAAACUUGGUUCUGGAGGAAGGAAUUCUUCAGGUUACCUAUAGGUUUUGAGUUGCCCAAAUUCAACUUAGACACGAGUUUUCUAGAACACAUCUAAUGUGUAAAGUGAUGAUCAUUUGCAGGUAUAUGACCCUAGAAUGCAUUACCAGCAGCCACACUGUGAUCAUCUGCCCAUGCUAAUGGAAGUUUCUCUUCAACUUGGUAUAGCAGUCAGUAGUCAUUCUUGCUGUUGUGAUAUCACUAACCAGAAAUACUCCAGAAACAUAUGUUAGUAAGUUAAACAAGGACAUGACUGGUUAUUAUGUACAUAUUUAAUUAACACU
rnacentral:lncRNA from 1 species